AGCGCAGGCGGGAAGACAAGUUGGAAGUGAAAACCAUGGGCUCAACCCAUGAAUUGCUUUCAAAACUGUUUUUCUUGAGUAGUGCAGAGGUAGGCGGAAUUCCCGGUGUAGCGGUGGAAUGCGUAGAUAUCGGGAGGAACACCAGUGGCGAAGGCGGCCUACUGGGCACCAACUGACGCUGAGGCUCGAAAGUGUGGGUAGCAAACAG
rnacentral:rRNA from 1 species